ensembl:snoRNA small nucleolar RNA SNORA3/SNORA45 family
AUAGAGACUAGAGUCUCGCCUCGACACACGGGUUGUCUUGGUGUGCUAGAGCUCUCUUAGAUCAACGACUGGUCCUACUCUCCGACUGGCCCUCUGGUUGGUCAGUCACCCACAUGGGCAGUUACAGUC